ensembl:snRNA U7 U7 small nuclear RNA
CAGUGUUACAACUCUUUUAGAGUUUGUCUAGCAGAUUUUCCAU